GUCUACGGCCAUAGCACCCUGAACGUGCCCGACGUUGUCUGAUCUCAGAAGCUAAGCAGGGUCUGGCCUGGUUAGGACUUGAAUGGGAGAAGGGGAAUGUACCUGGACUCAAGACA
rnacentral:rRNA from 1 species